rnacentral:rRNA from 1 species
GAUGAACGCUGGCGGCGUGCCUAAUACAUGCAAGUCGAGCGAACAGAUGAGGAGCUUGCUCCUCUGACGUCAGCGGCGGACGGGUGAGUAACACGUGGAUAACCUACCUAUAAGACUGGGAUAACUUCGGGAAACCGGAGCUAAUACCGGAUAAUAUAUUGAACCGCAUGGUUCAAUAGUGAAAGACGGUUUUGCUGUCACUUAUAGAUGGAUCCGCGCCGCAUUAGCUAGUUGGUAAGGUAACGGCUUACCAAGGCAACGAUGCGUAGCCGACCUGAGAGGGUGAUCGGCCACACUGGAACUGAGACACGGUCCAGACUCCUACGGGAGGCAGCAGUAGGGAAUCUUCCGCAAUGGGCGAAAGCCUGACGGAGCAACGCCGCGUGAGUGAUGAAGGUCUUCGGAUCGUAAAACUCUGUUAUUAGGGAAGAACAAAUGAGUAAGUAACUAUGCACGUCUUGACGGUACCUAAUCAGAAAGCCACGGCUAACUACGUG